GCAGAAAUCCAUGGUCGGAAUGAUUUGUGUUUGAAUUAGGACAUACAGGAUUUGUCUAGGCAUGCUGUAAUACUAGUUUUGUGAAACUCUGGUGUGAUAAAUAGCUACUUUUAUCUAAACCAAUGUUAUUUACUACACUAAAAAAAGACAAUUAAAAUCUUAGCCAGGAAAACUAACACAUACAUUGGAACUCUUCCUACAUUCUUUUAUGUUCUAACACUCAGUUGCUAUCUCUAAACUUUUGGUUUGCAUAUGAAAACCAGUAAAUCACAACAAACCUAUAUUCUGAAAAAUUUAUAUUUAGAAGAGCCAAUGCUUUAGGAAAAAGCAUUACUUUAUAAGUUCAGGUUUAGAAAGCAAAUACAACAAUCAAAAGCAAAAAGGUAAAGCAAUGAACAUGGAGACAGUGUAAACAGAAGCAUACAAGAUUUACUUAUGGUCAGUUGUGAUGCUCCUUCAAAAGCUGGCAGAACAAAAAGCAUAAUGGUUGGCUGGAACAGCCACAAAAGCUGCACCAUGGGCUCACAGGUGGAAUCUUAAAGGCACAGUAUGAAAAUAAGCCUGUGCAUGCAAAACAGGUCUCA
ensembl:lncRNA novel transcript, antisense to BAZ2B